rfam:Picea glauca, whole genome shotgun sequence.
ACAUGCUUACAUCAUAGAGCUAAUUCAUUGGAUCCCAUUAUAAAUAUGCAGUUAAACGCACUCAUGAUAGAAUAAUACUGGGAUGGGCGACUACCUAGGAAGUCCUAGUGUUUUACAUUGC